UUUACCAAUGGGAGACGGAUCCAACAAAACUGUAAAAGUUUCUUGGAUCAUACUUACUAAUUAUCCUCCUUUGACGAAUUAAAACAUAACAUUUGAAACAAGUUAACUAUUAUUUUUUUUUGACUGAAACUAUUAUUUAUUUUAGACUGAUUAGUUUGUUUUAAACGUUACAUGUUUGAAAACAAACUGACAGAGUACGUACGAACCGUUUUAUUAAUGGAAGAAGCACCCAUAGAAUUUUCUCUUUUUUGCAAAAAAAAAAGAACUUUAUUAACAAUCAAAUAGUGCCAUUACAAGCCUAGGAUAAAGCAAACUCAUGAAAAGAAGCAAAAAAAAAAAGACUUGACUACAACCAGUCCUAGUAGUAAAGUGAGCAAGCUCAUGAGCUACAUUAAUUAGUCUGACACCUGCUAAUCUUAACCACCACCAAACUACGGACCAGGCCACCGAUCGAUCCUGCUCAUUAUUCUUCAGUCUAUCAACAAUCACCGCACUGUCAGUUUCAAGCACCAUAUGCGUAUCUGCUCAUCGCGCAGGCAGAGCAAUUCAUUCACGGCACGCCGCUGCUUCGGCAUCUCAGGCAGCGGUGGCUAUUCAAAUUCAAACAACCCACAACGUUUGGUUGCCUGGAUGUUGAUCUAAAUCAGACGCCUAUGUUAUCCCAUACUUCUCUAAAUCGCCGUACCGGUAUCGCGAUACGUAUCCGAUACGGCGUCGAUACGGUAUCGGAGAAGUAUCGGGGAAAUAGAGAAAUAAAAAUAAAUAAAAUAAAUCCGAUACUUCGUCGAUACUAGACCGAUACCUUCCCGAUACUUCCCAGCCCAUAACCUCUCAAAUUGAAGUCCAUCAAGUUAGCAGCUCAUUUUUGUGGCCCAUUUACACAACACUAAAACCCUACUAGCCACCACACGUACACAAUAGAUGUAGUAGCGGAC
rnacentral:lncRNA from 1 species